rnacentral:lncRNA from 1 species
CGCACAUCAUUUACUCGGUUUUAGUCCUACUAAGCCUAAACCCUUUUGAUUCCAAGGUAACAAAACAUCAUUCUCCUAACCUUUCAUUAAGUAGUAUCUAACAGAACAAAAGUUUCUUUUACAAUAGUUCCCCAAGACCACUGUUUCGAUCUAAUGCUAGAAAAAUACAUAACAAACGUUAAGAAAUUGAGGGUUUGCGUUAGGUUGAUGAACUAUGAUGGUGAGUUAGUUGAUGUGCUUGGCCAGAAAAUCCAGGAGCUCGUUUCUCCACCAUGUUGUUGCUUGCUUCACAGCCGAUUCUUGCUUGUUAUCGUACCCAUUGUCUUGUGGUACCAAUGGUUGGCACUUCUCCUGUAGUCCAGCGUAUUGGGACUCUAGGAGUAUCUUGCUGAAUACACUGAUCAAGUGAGUGUGCUCUAUGGCCUUUAUUUUGUACCCUAGAAUGUCAACCUGACCCGCGGAUAAGCGCGAACCUAUCAAACCACAAAGGUAAUUGCACAAUGUUACUAUCACUGCUUGUGUUUAACUACAUCCCUAAAAAUGUUUGAAUUAAAGAGAAUAAUGUGACAUUAUGACGAAUACGGCAAUUGGAAAUUUUGUAUAUUAUAAAAUAAAUCAAGAGUAAGACUGCAGCAGAAUUAGUCAUGGAUUAACAAUUAAAUAAAUCAUUUGGUCUCAAAUAAACACUACGCUCGUUCAUAGGAGUCAGGGCUUAGGUAUAUGUGUCGAACAUAUAUGCAGCAUCAGUGCUUGUUUAAACAGUCGUUUCUCUACAAUCGUGUGGAACAUAUAUAGGCUCAUUAUUAGUGUUUAAGUUUGAUUGUGGAGGGAUUUGGAAGAGGAGAAGCAUGCUUACCUGCAACCUCUUUUGGCACCGGCCCACAAGCAUAUGUAGUACUACCAGCAAGACGACGAAGCAAGCUAGAUUUAAUUCCUUCAUGAUGAAAUCCUGCACCAAGCUAACAUAAUCUAUAAGGAUCAAUUAGAACAUACACAUGAAUUUGAGCUGCACCUGUGUGGAUCAAAAAUUUCAUAGCAUACAGCCCAACAUGACGACGUCCAUCGUCUUUGACUCGUAGCAGUAUAGAUCAGAUAGAAGGG